rnacentral:lncRNA from 1 species
GCCACCGCACGUAAUUACGUUCCCAUUUCGCAGAGACAAUCCGAGCUUCUGGGGAAACUCCAGAAUCUUUAUAUAAACCGACAGCCAUCGUUAAGCCAACAACAGCGCGAGAACAGGAUUUUCUGCCCGCACAACCCAGCGCGGCGGUGCCUGAGGGGGCCGCAGCACGCAGGCGGGCGGCGCUGCCCGCCCCGCGCAGGCCGAAGCUCACCGGCUUUCCCUCACGGCGCACCACGACCCUCGGCGCACCAAAGCACCGCGCGCCCGCUCAGUGCGGGGCAGCCCCUCCGCCCCCCGCGCCGCGGGGCGGCCGUUGCGGAGCGGCCGUUACGAAGCGCGCGGCGCCGCCCCUCCCGCUCGGCACCCCGCCCCGCCGAGGCCGGCGCCCGGCGGCGUGGCGAGCGCUGCCGCCGGCGGUACCGAGGGGCACCGGGGGGUCCCGGAGCCUCGCGGGCCGAGGGGAGAGGCGGCCGGGCCGAGUUUAAGCGCGGCGCCGACGGCGGGGAACGGCCGGCGGCGGGAAGCGACCGCCCGGAGCCCGACGGGCGGCGGGGCCCGGGAUCCGGGAGCGGCUCCGCCGGGUUUUGCCUCGGACCCGCCUCGCCCCCCUCCCUACCGCCCUCCCUCCGCGCGGCGCGGCGCGGCCCUGUAACAAAGAACAGGCGGCAUGGAGAAGGCGGCGGCGGAGGAGGAGGAGGAGGCGGCGGGGCCGCCCUCCCGCACCGGGAGCCCUCGCCGCCGCCGCCCCCGGCCCGGCCCGGCCCCGCGAGCCCCGGGGAGCGGAGGGACGGCGGCACCGGGGAGAGAGGGGGGGGAACGGGGAGCGGAGCGCCUGGGGGGGGGAGAUCCGCGAGGACGGGGCGCGGGCGCGGGGGGAGGCGCGGGGAGCCGGCGUUACCUGCCCUGGGAAUGGCCCGAGCCGGAUCGGAUCCGGACUCCGGGUUCCGAUCCGCUCCGGAAACCACGCGCCAGCGGAAGCCGCGCCGUGCGCGGAGCGUGCUGGGAGGCGUAGUCCGCCGCCGCCGCGGGGAGCGAGGGCGGCCGUCGGUAGCGGGACGGGGCGGCGCGCGGACGCUGACCCUGACGGGAGGCCGUCGGGGCGGGAGCCGUGCCCGGAUCGGCGUGCGCCGGGCCCACUGCCGCCGGCAGCCGCCGCCACGCUGGUCGGCGCUUCCGUAG